rnacentral:rRNA from 1 species
CCUACGGGAGGCAGCAGUGGGGAAUUUUGGACAAUGGGCGCAAGCCUGAUCCAGCAAUGCCGCGUGCAGGAUGAAGGCCUUCGGGUUGUAAACUGCUUUUGUACGGAACGAAACGGCGAGCUCUAAUAAAGUUCGCUAAUGACGGUACCGUAAGAAUAAGCACCGGCUAACUACGUGCCAGCAGCCGCGGUAAUACGUAGGGUGCAAGCGUUAAUCGGAAUUACUGGGCGUAAAGCGUGCGCAGGCGGUGAUGUAAGACAGAUGUGAAAUCCCCGGGCUCAACCUGGGACCUGCAUUUGUGACUGCAUCGCUAGAGUACGGUAGAGGGGGAUGGAAUUCCGCGUGUAGCAGUGAAAUGCGUAGAUAUGCGGAGGAACACCGAUGGCGAAGGCAAUCCCCUGGACCUGUACUGACGCUCAUGCACGAAAGCGUGGGGAGCAAACAGGAUUAGAUACCCUGGUAGUCCACGCCCUAAACGAUGUCAACUGGUUGUUGGGUACUCUUCCUNUCUACACUACGUAACGACGACGACGCGAGUAGUACGCCGCGGNGGAGGACGGCCGACGAGUAGACGACGAAGAGUAGAGNGAGAGAGCGACGACGGACGACGACGGAGGGAGGAGG